rnacentral:rRNA from 1 species
CCUACGGGAGGCAGCAGUUAGGAAUCUUCCGCAAUGGGCGCAAGCCUGACGGAGCGACGCCGCUUGGAGGAAGAAGCCCUUCGGGGUGUAAACUCCUGAACCCGGGACGAAACCCCCGACGAGGGGACUGACGGUACCGGGGCAAUAGCGCCGGCCAACUCCGUGCCAGCAGCCGCGGUAAU